GCUUAACACAUGCAAGUCGAACGAAGCUGCUUUGUGUGAAGCCUUCGGGUGGAACUUUAAGUAGACUUAGUGGCGGACGGGUGAGUAACGCGUGAGCAACCUGCCCUGAAGUGGGGGACAACAGUUGGAAACGACUGCUAAUACCGCAUAAGACCCCGGAGUCACAUGGCUCAGAGGUAAAAGGAUUUAUUCGCUUCAGGAUGGGCUCGCGUCCCAUUAGGUAGUUGGUGAGGUAGUAGCUCACCAAGCCUGCGAUGGGUAGCCGACCUGGGGGGGUGGUCGGCCACACUGGAACUGAGACACGGUCCAGACUCCUACGGGAGGCAGCAGUGGGGAAUAUUGGGCAAUGGGCGAAAGCCUGACCCGGCAACGCCGCGUGAGGGAAGAAGGCCUUCGGGUUGUAAACCUCUGUCCUUGGGGACGAAAAAAAUGACGGUACCCAAGGAGGAAGCUCCGGCUAACUACGUGCCAGCCGCCGCGGUAACAC
rnacentral:rRNA from 1 species